UACGUAGGGUGCAAGCAUUAAUCGGAAUUAUUGGGCGUAAAGGGCGCGUAGGCGGAGAUAUAAGUCAGAUGUGAAAUUCCAAAGCUCAACUUUGGAGCUGCAUUUGAAACUAUAUCUCUCAGAGGAGUGGCGGAGAAAGCGGAAUUCCACGUGUAGCGGUGAAAUGCGUAGAUAUGUGGAAGAACACCGGUGGCGAAAGCGGCUUUCUAGCUUAUACCUGACGCUGAGGCGCGAGAGCAAGGGGAGCAAACAGG
rnacentral:rRNA from 1 species